UGAGUACCUAAACCCAUGCUUUUUCAUGCAGGGACAUAUAGGAAGGUGCUGACAGCAAGCACAGUUUUGUCACCUCUGUGGGGUUGGGUGGUGCCCCUCAGAGUGAAUUUAAAGGUUUUUUACAC